GCCGUCAGUCAGAGCACAGGAAGGGUUCGGGUCCUUAAAGUGGAUGAAUCCUGUAAACGAGUCUCUAAAUGACAAACCAUGGCAUCCUUUAGAUUUAAAAUUCUUUACUUUUGCAGAAGGUGUAAGUAAUGAUAAACUUUUUAAAAUGUGGUUUUAAAAUUAUUAUUACAUAUAUAUUUUUUUCAUUUUUUAGUUUUACUUGUCCUGUUGGAGAAUCAAAAAUACUUUACAAGCACGAUAUUUGAUUUCUGUUUCAUGUUCAGCGCUCUGAUCCACAGAAUGAUCCGCUCAGGUCUGAUAUGAUGUUUGCACAAUUUACAGAGUUUUAUGAUUAAAAUCUUUUAUGAUCUGAA